rnacentral:rRNA from 1 species
ACAAGUAGUCAGAGCCCGUUAAUGGGUGAUGGCGUGCCUUUUGUAGAAUGAACCGGCGAGUUACGAUUUGAUGCAAGGUUAAGCAGUAAAUGUGGAGCCGUAGCGAAAGCGAGUCUGAAUAGGGCGUUUAGUAUUUGGUCGUAGACCCGAAACCAGGUGAUCUACCCUUGGUCAGGUUGAAGUUCAGGUAACACUGAAUGGAGGACCGAACCGACUUACGUUGAAAAGUGAGCGGAUGAACUGAGGGUAGCGGAGAAAUUCCAAUCGAACCUGGAGAUAGCUGGUUCUCUCCGAAAUAGCUUUAGGGCUAGCCUCAAGUGAUGAUUAUUGGAGGUAGAGCACUGUUUGGACGAGGGGCCCCUCUCGGGUUACCGAAUUCAGACAAACUCCGAAUGCCAAUUAAUUUAACUUGGGAGUCAGAACAUGGGUGAUAAGGUCCGUGUUCGAAAGGGAAACAGCCCAGACCACCAGCUAAGGUCCCAAAAUAUAUGUUAAGUGGAAAAGGAUGUGGCGUUGCCCAGACAACUAGGAUGUUGGCUUAGAAGCAGCCAUCAUUUAAAGAGUGCGUAAUAGCUCACUAGUCGAGUGACACUGCGCCGAAAAUGUACCGGGGCUAAACAUAUUACCGAAGCUGUGGAUUGUCCUUUGGACAAUGGUAGGAGAGCGUUCUAAGGGCGUUGAAGCAUGAUCGUAAGGACAUGUGGAGCGCUUAGAAGUGAGAAUGCCGGUGUGAGUAGCGAAAGACGGGUGAGAAUCCCGUCCACCGAUUGACUAAGGUUUCCAGAGGAAGGCUCGUCCGCUCUGGGUUAGUCGGGUCCUAAGCUGAGGCCGACAGGCGUAGGCGAUGGAUAACAGGUUGAUAUUCCUGUACCACCUAUAAUCGUUUUAAUCGAUGGGGGGGACGCAGUAGGAUAGGCGAAGCGUGCGAUUGGAUUGCACGUCUAAGCAGUAAGGCUGAGUAUUAGGCAAAUCCGGUACUCAUUAAGGCUGAGCUGUGAUGGGGAGAAGACAUUGUGUCUUCGAGUCGUUGAUUUCACACUGCCGAGAAAAGCCUCUAGAUAGAAAAUAGGUGCCCGUACCGCAAACCGACACAGGUAGUCAAGAUGAGAAUUCUAAGGUGAGCGAGCGAACUCUCGUUAAGGAACUCGGCAAAAUGACCCCGUAACUUCGGGAGAAGGGGUGCUCUUUAGGGUUAACGCCCAGAAGAGCCGCAGUGAAUAGGCCCAAGCGACUGUUUAUCAAAAACACAGGUCUCUGCUAAACCGUAAGGUGAUGUAUAGGGGCUGACGCCUGCCCGGUGCUGGAAGGUUAAGAGGAGUGGUUAGCUUCUGCGAAGCUACGAAUCGAAGCCCCAGUAAACGGCGGCCGUAACUAUAACGGUCCUAAGGUAGCGAAAUUCCUUGUCGGGUAAGUUCCGACCCGCACGAAAGGCGUAACGAUUUGGGCACUGUCUCAACGAGAGACUCGGUGAAAUCAUAGUACCUGUGAAGAUGCAGGUUACCCGCGACAGGACGGAAAGACCCCGUGGAGCUUUACUGUAGCCUGAUAUUGAAAUUCGGCACAGCUUGUACAGGAUAGGUAGGAGCCUUUGAAACGUGAGCGCUAGCUUACGUGGAGGCGCUGGUGGGAUACUACCCUAGCUGUGUUGGCUUUCUAACCCGCACCACUUAUCGUGGUGGGAGACAGUGUCAGGCGGGCAGUUUGACUGGGGCGGUCGCCUCCUAAAAGGUAACGGAGGCGCUCAAAGGUUCCCUCAGAAUGGUUGGAAAUCAUUCAUAGAGUGUAAAGGCAUAAGGGAGCUUGACUGCGAGACCUACAAGUCGAGCAGGGUCGAAAGACGGACUUAGUGAUCCGGUGGUUCCGCAUGGAAGGGCCAUCGCUCAACGGAUAAAAGCUACCCCGGGGAUAACAGGCUUAUCUCCCCCAAGAGUUCACAUCGACGGGGAGGUUUGGCACCUCGAUGUCGGCUCAUCGCAUCCUGGGGCUGUAGUCGGUCCCAAGGGUUGGGCUGUUCGCCCAUUAAAGCGGUACGCGAGCUGGGUUCAGAACGUCGUGAGACAGUUCGGUCCCUAUCCGUCGUGGGCGUAGGAAAUUUGAGAGGAGCUGUCCUUAGUACGAGAGGACCGGGAUGGACAUACCUCUGGUGUACCAGUUGUCGUGCCAACGGCAUAGCUGGGUAGCUAUGUGUGGACGGGAUAAGUGCUGAAAGCAUCUAAGCAUGAAGCCCCCCUCAAGAUGAGAUUUCCCAACUUCGGUUAUAAGAUCCCUCAAAGAUGAUGAGGUUAAUAGGUUCGAGGUGGAAGCAUGGUGACAUGUGGAGCUGACGAAUACUAAUCGAUCGAAGACUUAAUCAA